ACUAAGUUUCAACAACGGAUCUCUUGGCUCUCGCAUCGAUGAAGAACGCAGCGAAGUGCGAUAAGUAAUGUGAAUUGCAGAAUUCAGUGAAUCAUCGAAUCUUUGAACGCACCUUGCGCUCCUUGGUAUUCCUUGGAGCAUGCCUGUUUGAGUAUCAUGAAAU
rnacentral:rRNA from 1 species